GAACUCCAGGCCGCCGAGAAGCAGAGCAUGCAAACUUAACCACUGCGCCACUGGGCCGGCCCCAGAGAAAUUCUUAAUUUUAGUAUAGUGGGAGUUAUAAAUCCUUUCCUUUAUGGUUUAUGCUUUUUGUGUCUUAUUUAAGAAAUCUUUCCCUAUUCCAAGUACUUAAGAUAUUUUUCUAUAUUGCUUCUAAUAAUUUCAUAAUUUUGAUUUUCAUGUUUAAAUCUUAAUGCAUCUAGAGUUUAUUUUUAUCACAUGGAUAAUCAAUUUUCCCAGCAUGAUUUAUUCAAACGUUCAUUCUUUUCCCGACUGAUUUGCUUUAAGUUUCCGUAUAUACAUGGAUCUAUUUCUUAGCUCUCUAUUCUGUUCCAUUGGUCUAUUUGUCAAUCUUUCAACUAACACGUUUAUAAAUAUUGAUAUCUAGUAUUCUGGUAAAGCAAGUCCUCCAAUCUGAUACUUCUUUAGAAAUGGCUUAUCUAUUCUUAGUCCUUUGCAUUUCCACAUGGAUUUUAGAAUUGGCUCACUGGGUUUAAAUAUAAAUUGGGAUUUUGACUGGAAUUGCAUCAAAUCUGUAGAUCACUUCAGAUAAGUAAAAUCUUCACAAAAUAAGCCUUCUAACCCAUGAACAUGGUAUAUUUCUCUAUGUAGGUCUUCUGUAAUAUCUUUCGAUAAAGUUUUGUAAUUUCUGUCGUAAAGUACUUGGACACUUAUUACAUUUCACCCUAGAACUUAAUAUUUCCUAAUGCCAUUGUAAAUUUUAUUGAAUUACACUUUCUGUUGCUAUCGUAUAGAAAUAUAGUGACUUUUUAGUAUAUUUCACCCAAUAGGCUUACAAAACUUUAUUAUUAAUUCUAAUAAUUUAUCCAUUAACUAAUUUUCCAAUCGUUAUACAUUUUACUCUUUUUUCUCUUGCCAUAUGACACUUGCUAGAAACUUCAGUCCAAUGUUGAAAGAAAGCAGAUAAUAGACUCUCCUUUUGUUCCGGAUCUUAAGAAAAUGCCUUCAACUUUUCAACAUUGGGUUAUACCAAUAUUUAAAGUGAAGAAACCAUGCUGCUGAGAAGUAAAGCAGCUGCUCAAGAUCAUGAGGCCUCUAAGGGAUAAACCCAGGCUUCAACAUCAAUCCAAGACCCAUGUUCUUUUCUCAAUUGUGUCAGUGCACAAAAAGGUUAACCAGGGAGACUUGAAACAGGCAGAGGCAAGGGAAUACAUUUGGAUUUAAGACACUCUAAAGUGCAGUAAAUAAAAAUAAAAGCCUUUGAGCUUUGCUAAUCCUUCAGAAAAUCCUGGUAAUCAGCUUCUGAGGGGCAAAUAUAGAUAUAAUCCUUCCUUAAAAUUGCCUGAUGGCUCUCUGCUGCUCACAAGGAUAAAGUCCCAAUUCUCAGCAGGAUACACUUCCAGAUUUAUAAAUAGCCACUCUGUCCCAGAACACCUUCACCUCUGCACUAUUCAUCAUUCCCCAAACUUGUUGUACAUUUUCAUGCUCCUGUGACACUGAGCAUUCAGUCCUUCCCUAUGUUGUACAAUUAAGACUCCUAACCAUUCAUUCACUCAACCAACAAAUACUUAGCAAGAGUCUAGAAUGUGGCAAAAGUUGUGGUAAGCACUGAGGAUACCAUGAUACAGAAAACAGAGUAAGUCCCUGCAUUUUUCAAGGCUUCAGAGAAGAGGAAGCUGCAGGAGAGAAAUAGAGGAGAGAACAGCAGUGUUCUAAUUGUCUUUCCAUAUGCUUUAAUUGAGCUUUUAAUUGGUAAGCUGGGUUAAUCAUCCUGAAGUCCCCUAUCUUCCCUAUCCCUUUACUUCUUGUAUUAGUCAGAGUUCUCCAGAGAAACAGAACCAAUAGGAGGACGAAUAGAUAUAAGUGUAUACUUGUAUACAUGCAUGUAUACAUACAGAUGUAUACAGAGAGAGAGAUAUUUAUUUUAAGGAACAGGCCCAUGUGACUGUGGAGGCUCGGCAAGUCCAAAAUACGAUGACUAGGCCAGCAUGUUGGAGACUCAGGGAAGCAUCGCAGUUUGAGUCCAAAGGCAGUCAGUCUGCUGUAAGAAUUCCUUCUUACUUGGGGGAGGGUGGGGGAGAAAGGUCAGUCUUUGCUCCACUAAGGCUUUCAACUGAUCAGACAAGGCCCACCACCCACAUUAUGGAAGCCAAUCUGCUUUACUCAAAGUCCACCAAUUUAAAUGUUAAUCUCAUCUAAAAAGUACUCUCACAAAAACAUCCAGAACAAUGUUUGACCAAAUAUCUGGGCACAAGGGCUCAGCCAAGUUAACAAAUCAAAUUAACCAUCACACUUCUUAUCCUUCCUAUCUUUCCUACAUCCUUGAAUUCACUUUUUUUUUUUAAAGAGGAGAACUUGUGUAGGAGGCUGGAAAGAGGGCUAGAAAGAAUAAAGGUCAAGGAUAGCCAUCUGAUUCUCUCUUUUUCCUCCAGCUCAAACUGUGAGGACGGUAUGGUUGAGGAAGGACUCAACUGUUCAGCCUGUUUAACCCUGAAACCCCAACAAACAGCAUAGUCUUCACACUCACCUUCCUCAGAAGCUCCUCUUACACGCACAGAUCACUCUGCCAACCUUGCUGCAACUAAGAAAGAAAAGUCUUCUACAGCAGAAUAUGACUUUUCCUUCUUAGGAGAUGAUAAAUAUAAAGUUGUUUGGGAGUUUUGCUCCCUUAUUACAAACCCAAAAGGGCCCACAUAGGACUUUCCACACUAAAAGAAAUUUAGUUUUCAAUCUGGAAUAAUAGAAAUAACAGAAAAUGAUUAUUUAAAGUCCUUUAAAAUAAGAAUAUGGAAAAUAAAAAUAUAGUGAAUACAAAACAAGAGGGCCCUUUUGGGGAUAUUGGCAGCACAUGUGUGUUUGUUUUUCUAAAUAUCUCUUCCAAACAGAUUUUAAAAACCCAAAUGCCAAAUAAAAAAAUGGAUCCUGCUUGUAAAAUCAUGUAAAACAGUUUCUUCAGGAUGGGCAUAAAGCUCAGCUUACCUACAGAGAAAUACCAGUCUAUAAAGCAUUGUAAGAUAAGGGUGCAAACAUACAAAUCUGAAUCCACCUUGGCUCAGCCGAAUAGUUCACCAUCAGAAGAGUUGACACUACCAUCUAGUGGUUCAUUUAGAGAAAAAACAUUUAUACCCUUCAAAGUGUUUCAACUAGAUAGGCAAUCUAGUAAAUAUAAAUGGACUAUUUUGUUCUGAGAGAAAAUAGGCUGAGAGCAAUAAAACAAACACUUAGGUAUACUGUAGGCCAUGGUGGAUGGAUGACCGGCUUGAAAGCUCUAGCUCUGAGUUCUUCUAUUUAUAGCUGUGUGAUUUUGGACAAGCGUUACCUCUCCAAGCUUGUUUCUCAUUUCUAAAAUAACAUGACUGCACUAGAUUGGUGUUUCUCAAGUGGCAAGUUAUAACACAAUAGCCAUACAAUCAACCUCAUGGGUCAUGACGAGAAUUUUUUAAAAUUUAAACAUAACAAAAAGUAUAUCAGAGCAUCACAGGUUGUAAGAGUAUUGCUUGAUGAAGUCAAUAAAUGUACACAUAUGUGUUGUGUGAGUGUGUCUGUGCAUGUGUGUGUUUCCUGGAACACAAUAUAAAAUGUAUCUGUUGCUAUAGGUCACAGCCAAAAAAGUUGGAAAGCCUCAAAAAUUCCUAUCAGCUAUAAACUACACAUUCCUGUGAAUUAUGGCCAUCCGUCCUGCUUCAGAGAACUGACACGGUUUGAGCCUGCUUAAUGUAUAGUCAGAUGUCUGAAAGCCCUGUCUGCUGAGCAGCGGGACGUCUUCCUUUCUCUCUUACAGUAACUCCAAAAGACGCCAAUCAAAACAGAUAGAAACAUUUGCCCAGUUUUGUUUGUGUUUUGUUUUCUUUUUCCAGAGACUACUACCAAUCUUGCUAAUGCGGUGUUUCUCACACUAAUGGUCCAAGGCCCAACUGCCUGAUUCACCUGAGCUGUGUGUAUAAAAUGGAAAUUUUUGCCUCCCCUGUCUCACUGCCAGACCUACUGAAUCAGAACCUCAGGGCAUAGAGUAAUCUGCACCGUCCUCAAGUACCCCAGGUGAUUCUUAUGCGCCCUCAGGUUUGAGAAAUCGUAGUUUAAUCUGCAGUGACAUUUUUGAGAAGAGAGCUCUUAGCAAGUAAUUUUGUUGAUCCCUGUCCAUCCCAACAUCCUCUAUCUGUGCUCUCUCUGUCCUUUCUUCCAUGUACACCUCCCAAAAGGAAAGGAUCCUGCUCAUUCCCAUCUCUGGAGGACAGAUCUCUACUAUCUACAGAGAAUUAGGAUAAUGGAAGCAGCAGUAAUUUCCAGAAAGGGAAGAGGAACCAGUACAAUCAAGGUCCAUUCUGAAUUCCAGCAGAAGAAUCGGGCAGAGGCUUUAGUGUUCAUAGCUGCAUUACUAUUGUAUUUCUUCAAUUCUAAGAUGCACAUUUUGUGGCAUUGUAAUGUUUCUAAAAUUGGGAUUGCAUCUUCUAAUCAAUGUACAAUUUAAUAUAGGAGGUUUUACCUCCUAGAAACAUCUUAUUAAAACAAAGAUAUGUCUUAAACUUGAUUGUGUCCCAGAAUCGAGGAAAUAAAGUAAUUAUGCUGCUGCCAUA